AGGAAGAAAAGUAGCUUGACCCGAGGCUCCUUGUGAUCUUGACACUAAUCUAUCAAAGAUCUACAAGCGAUUGUGCUGGCGAGGAGGACAAGGGGAGGAGAACUUUCCUGCUAGGGAGCCUUAAAUGGAAUUUGGUCUAUACAGCCUUCCAUCAAAUUGCAGCUGUGAAAUGAGCUGGGGAAUGAAAUGACAAACCACUCCAGGAUUUUUGUCAAGAAAACCUCUAAAGUGGUCAUGAAGAGUUAGACAUAACUGAAAUGACUGAACAAGAACAAGCACAAUGAAAUGGACAGAAGAACUAUUCAAGUCUUACUUCUAACAUU
rnacentral:lncRNA from 1 species